rnacentral:piRNA from 1 species
UGGUGAGUUGGACUCUGUAAGGAAUUUUUUA